AGGAAGUAGCCGCCGACGAUUGCCAGGAGUUGUACGACGACGCCCUUGCCAAUUUGGAAGACGCGGCGUUAGCCGUUAAGUCACGUGACAUUGCCACCGUUAACACUAACUUGAGCGCGGCUAUGACGGACUACAGCACGUGCAACGACGGCUUCGAAGAAGCGGGAGAGCCUAACCCUUUGGCUGACGUGGGCGAUAAGCUUACCAAGAUGGUUAGUAACUGUCUCGCUAUCUCCACGUUGCUCAAGUGAAAAAUGAAACGGCGGCGUUUUUGAAUCGCGACGAUGUAAAGUGUUUGUUUUCAUUAAAUUUGGGCCUGGUUUGAACGUGGUAGUACUACGCCGUUAUCGAAUAUAUAAAAUUCCAAAAUCACAUUAAAGAACGUGAGUGCGCUUUAUUAAAUAGGCUUAUGGUGACGUUUAACCAGAGAUAGAUCACGCUUCAUGCAUCUAUCUCCUCGUUGUUGUCUUGUCACCUAUUUCUUGUGAAACAAAGUGAUAUAUAUAUAUAUAUAUAUACGUAAUUGUAUAUAUGUUGUCCAUAAACAAAGCGACUCGGUUUUCUUUUUGGAUGCUCUCCAUAGAAUUUGGUAAAAGUGAACUAUAUUGAUGUUAGUAUGUUACGAAUGUUUGGUCGCUUCAGAAAGAUGAAAUAACAAGUGAAGCAUCAACGUUCGAUGAAAGUAUUGUCUUUUGAGGAUAAAUCAAUGUAACUGAUAUUUUUCGUCGUUGUAGAAUAUAACUCUAUAGGCAUGGUUGGUCUUGAUUCUUGACGUAUGAUAUCGAUUUUUCUACACAUUUCUUAGCUUUCUCUUUUAUAUGAUUCACUUGGAAAUUUGCAUGACUAAAAAACUAAGCCACCAAGUAUAUAGCUUCGAUUUCAACCAUUAGUGGUAAAGCUUUGGUGUUAUGUAAAUGACUACUGCAACUACACUGGUGCAAGAGUCAAUAUUCUUUGGAUUUGGCAUAUUUCAUGUAGCUUUACACAUUAAAUAGAAGAUUGUAUUUUUGUAUACCAACUAUUUUUGUAUGUUGCAUUAUUAUUUGUGCACCAGUCACUCCACUCCUUGUUAUAUGUUGUGUAGGUUCGUUACAGAUCCAUGAUGUGUGUGGGUUAAAACAUCAAUAAAUUGUUAUCAAUCCAUCAAAUUAUUUUUCUUCAUAUCCAAUAAUAACCAAGUCUUCAUUUUUCUUGUCUUUACUAAUUGAGAGAAAUAUAAAUAUCUUUGGAUAAUUGUUGUUUAAAAUGAAAGAAUAUACAAUUAGGCAUGACCACGGUUACGGUUAAUGCGGUUAUGGUUAAUUAACCACCGGUUAACGGUUAUAAUUUUCUUUAACCAUAACUUUAACCAUUAUAUAUACGGUUAAAACGGUUACGGUUAUAUACGGUUACGGUUAAUUACGGUUACGGUUAUUUGAUGAUUAUUAUAAUAUUAAUAUUAGAGAUAAAAUCUUAUGAAAUACUAUUUAUUUUACAAGUAAAAAAUAUUUGUGAUUUCAAAUAUUUAUAGUGAGUUACUUAAAUCAGGGUAUUGGAUCGAGAAACUCAACAUCAAAUACACAAGGAAAUAAGAAUAAAAAUAGUUUAAUAUGAAAUGUUUUGAUUACUUACAAGUUCAAUUUGUUGUGUUGCUUUUAAUAAGGUGAAAAAUGUAUUCAAACAUUUGAUGUGUCUUUUCAUUAUAUACAGUUAUAAUAUAAUUUAUUUAAGGAUUUGAAUAUGCGGUUAACCGAGUGUUUAACCGUACGGUUAACCGGUGGUUUAUUACGGUUACGGUUAAUUAACGGUUACGGUUAGUAUUUUUUUUUUAACGGUUACGGUUAGUACUUGUACGGUUAACGGUUACGAUUUUUAACCGUUUUAUACGGUUACGGUCAGGUUAAGGUUGAUAAACGGUCUGGUUACGGUUAUAAAUACGGUUAAGGUUAGCUUUUGGUCAUGCCUAUAUACAAUGUCAAAUUUGUAGAGUUCAAAAAGUUAAAAAGUGAAUUAAAAAUUUGGUAUUUUACCUUUCGUGUAAACUGCAAAUGUUGGUCCAUCCAAACCAAUUAUCUCAACCGGUUAGUGAAUUACAUGUUUUUUCUUGUCCAUCAGUUCCAUUCAAUAAACCCAAUCCAUUCCAAAUUAGACAGACUUCGGUUAUCUCUAUUUGAUAACCAGUUUGGAACUACCAAAUGAAAUAACCAAAAUUACCGAAAAUAAAAUUUAAUUAGCCAAAACGCAUUCUAAAUUUUAAAAAAUUACCCGAAUAAACCAGAUAUAGUUACCAAUUCGACAGUAGAUUUAGUCUUUAGCGGUACGAUAUAAUUACAUAACGAAUGUUGUUUAAACCAGGCAUAAAGGUUCCUCCUAUCUCAACAGUAUCAUUUAUAUAUAUAUAUAUAUAUAUAUAUAUAUAUAUAUAUAAUAAGGAAAAACCUUAGUUUACGUUCUUUAAUGCAUACAGGUACGUACAUGUAAAAUGCGGAAUAAUUUAUUAUAGUCGUGGAACACGUCUAAACAGCCCUGCAUGUGUGUGUAAUCUAUAGGAAAUUACGUUGCGAAAUUGUAUACUGCUCGCAUAAAUCUGAUAAUUCAGUGUAGACGUCAUAAUUUUAAAGGAAUGCUAAGUCUUCAACUUUAUUGUCCAUAAGUAAGAACCAGGAUACUGACGUAUUUGCUCAAUGGGCAACGAAAUUUGUAUACUAUCAUUAUCCAAGAACUUGACCGUUCUGUGGAUGUGACCCUGUCACGUACCGUAUCUUUUACUUUUACAGCUAGCUGUAAUUUCAAAAAUUGUGUGUGUGCAAUGUGCGUGAUACAGUUUGAACACAGCCGUAUUACCGUCCAAAAUAGUGAAGCCAUUGAAAAAAAAAUUUUUAUGGCGUUAUAGUUUUUUUUUUUCCGUCACCGUAUUUAUUAUUGGUGGAUAACCAGAUAUAAUUUAGGCCAUACACGUAAUACUUUUGUUAAUUAAUAAUCCAUAAAUAUUUAUAAUCCAUAAACGACAAAAGAAAACGGAAAAAACAAAAAGGUACACUCCUCUCCUCGCUCUCUCUCUCUCUCUUUCCUCUCUUUUCUCUCUUCUCCUACCUCUAGCUCUCCUAAGUUCUUAAACAAAAAUACAAAAAUUCCAGGAUAUCAAAGAUGAGUAAUACCGAUGCUCAUCGUGAAGGAAGAGAUGAUGUCGUCCAGGUCGUUGUUGAAGGAGAUCAUAUGGAAGGUGUCGUCGGAGGUGAUGGAGGAGGGAUCCAAGCUAACGAAGACGGUGAAGCUGAAGCUGCAAUGAAAGCGUGUUCGUGUAAAACUUUUCCUGAAGGCAUUCUCAGACGCGUCGAAUCUGGAUUUGCAUCACUGUUCUAUCACCCGGAAGUCCUUUUUGUGUUCCAGUUCAUCUUCGGAGCUUUGGGUACUUACUUUUUUGUGAACCUCAAAAACUUUAAUCCUCUGCUAUUAUCCGUGUAUGCAAUCGGUUUUGUUUUGUUUCUCCUCAAUGCUAUUUGCGAGUUUGGAGGACUUUACAUGGAAAUGAGGAUUGAGUAUGGUGAGCGGGUUCGUUUAUAUAGAAUGACUUUCAAACUUUUGAAAUGCGUUGGAAACAUGGCCGUCCUUGGUGGGUUUGUAGUCAUUGGUAACAUGAUCGAGAUCACAGAGAGUAGUUUAGGAUUGUUUGCCAUUGGGGAAUCUCUCUCGUUCUAUCUAUUACUCGUCUCAUUUUUCAAGUUCAUUGGCGUGGAAGAUCUGUUUGGCUGCGCAGAUGGUGUGAUGACGGCAACAUAUGUUGUAUGGAUAAACAACCAUAAGAAUGUACUAAAAGAUCUUUCUCUUGCGCAAGAAAUUUCGUCUUGGGUUGGCUUUGUUGUUAUCACUGUACUGUUUACACUGUACAAAAUCACUCCAAUAUGGUUUAGAUGUUUGGAUGUUUCAUCUGGUGGAAGAGGUAAUGGAGAACGUGUUGUUGGAGCAGGAAACAGAGGAGGGAUCCAAGUUAAUGAAGAAGCUGAUGCCGCUAUGAAAGCGUGUAAGUGCACUAAUUUUCCGGAAUGCUUCCUGAGAUGUAUUGAAUCUGGUUUUGCUUCAAUGUUCUUUCACCCUGAAAUGCUAGUUCUCUUCCAGUUCAUCUUCGGGGAUUUGGAUACCUUUUUUCUUCUGAAACUGAAAAGCACUAAUUAUCUGGUGAUUGCCGCGGUCGUGAUUAGUGCUAUUUUGUUUGUUCUCAAUUUUGCUUGCGGGAUUGGACGUGUCUACGUCAAAAUGAGGACUCAGUAUAGUGAGCGAUACAGAAUGACUCUGAAACUCUUCAAAUGCGUUGGAAACAUGGCCGUCCUUGGUGGGUUUGUAUUCAUUGGUAAUAUGAUCGAGAUCACAGAGAGUAGUCUAGGAUGGUUUGCCAUUGGGAUUUCUCUCUCGUUGUAUCUAUUUCUCGUCUCCCUUUCCAAGUUCAUUGGCGUGGAAGAUCUGUUUGGCUGCGGAGAUGCUGUGAUGGCAGCAACUGCUAUGGUAUGGAUAAACAAUCGUAAGAUUCUACUCAAAGAUUUUUCUCCUGUGCAAGCAGCUUUGUCUUGGUUUGGUUUCGUUGUUAUCACUGUACUGUUUACACUGUACAAAAUCACUCCCAUACGGUUUAGAGGUUUGGAUGUUGCAGCUGGUGGAAGAGGUAACGGAGGUGGUGUUGUCGGAGGAGGAAACAGAGGAGGUGUCGGAGGAGAUGACCAAGUUGAUGGAAUAGAAAUGGAAGAAAUUCCAUUGUUGCACUGUGCCUGAAUGUUGUUGCUAGUGCUGAUGUAACAGGAACGGUUGAAGCGUAAUGUUAGACCGCCUAUUCAGGCAUGGAUGGACUGGCAUUCGAUUCUGCAUUCAACAGCAUCAGUUUCCCUUUUUUUGUUUUGCAUUUUCGUGUUUGUUGUUUUAAAAUAACAUUUCUCUCUGCUUUGUUUUGUUGUUUUGCUUUGUUUCAUGGAUUAGUGAUAUUUCCAGAUAAAUCGAAUUUCCUAGAAUGAUAUUAGUGGGUUCGUGGGUUAAGUAGUGGAAUCAUUUUUACUAAUUAACCCAAUUUUUUUUAAAAUCUAAUUUGCUUAUAUUUUCGUGAGAUUACUUAAACUUAAUCUAUCAACACUAUAUUUAAUCUUACGAAUAUACAGGCCUUAACAAUAUAUUUUGCUAGAAAUUUGUUAAAUGUUGGUAAAAAAUAAAAAAAUAGAUUUAAUAUCUCAGUGGAAUCGAACCCGGACUGUAUGCAUUUAUUGAGACGUUAGAGAGGGGGUGAAGCCAAUAGGCAACAUGACCAUUUAAUAUUUACUUAAUAACCGUUGUAUAACUUUCCAAAAUUCGUACUCCAUUCAUUUUUGAGAAUCCGCGUCACGUUACGGAAUAUUCUUAACCAUUUAUGUUUAAUAAUUUUUUUUCUGUCAAAUGAAAUUAUUCGGGAAUUAUUGGUGUUUAACACAUCUCUUGAUUUUUUUUAUUUUUUUGUUGGUAAGGUAAAACAAAACAUUUUGCAUCCAUUAUAAAUUAUACAACCAAAUAUUGAUUUAGUAAACUUCUUAAAAUUAGUUUAUAUAUCCACCAAUCUAUUUAAUUUUAAACACCACAUUUUUUUUUAAAAUCAAAAUCCGGUUAUAGUAUUUCAAGAAUCAAAAAUGAAAUCGGGUUUUGACAAAAUAUUUAUUUAAAUAGUCAAUUUUUACAUAUAAAUAAUACAUUUUGAUUCCAUUAUGAUAUGUUGAAUUAAUUUUUUUCUUUUUUGGUAAAUUUAAAAAAUAAAUAUAUAUAUAUGAUAGUACUGUUGUAUAUUAUAUAAUAUUAUAUACCUGCUUAAAACAAUCGAUAGAAAGAAAAAUAUUCUGUCCGUAGCGCAAAUUAAUAAUCUAGUAACUUUAAAACAUAUUAUUCUUGAACUCUGAACAAACGAGAAGAUAUUUUAUACUAUUAGAAAUAAUCCCAGCACAAUAACUUAAAAGAAAGUAACAGAAUUUGAUAGAAACCACAGCAGAACACUAGAAGUCAAAGUGAUAUAUGAUCAAAACACUUGUGAAUCCAGCUCUGUUAUCUCCGGAGAUCAAAGCUAUUUGCGGCAAAACCGAUUUCCCUCCGCUAUGCGAAUCUUCCGUUAGUCCUCUGUUAACGGUGGCUCAGUGAAACCAGACACUUCCUCCGUCCUCGUUCUCGCGAUUCAAGCUUCGAUCAACGCCACCAAGGCGGCGUUGGCCACCGUCGAGGAAGUAGCCGCCGACGAUUGCCAGGAGUUGUACGACGACGUACGCCCUUGCCAAUUUGGAAGACGCGGCGUUAGCCGUUAAGUCACGUGACAUUGCCACCGUUAACACUAACUUGAGCGCGGCUAUGACGGACUACAGCACGUGCAACGACGGCUUCGAAGAAGCGGGAGAGCCUAACCCUUUGGCUGACGUGGGCGAUAAGCUUACCAAGAUGGUUAGUAACUGUCUCGCUAUCUCCACGUUGCUCAAGUGAAAAAUGAAACGGCGGCGUUUUUGAAUCGCGACGAUGUAAAGUGUUUGUUUUCUUUAAAUUUGGGCCUUGGACUGGUUUUGAACGUGGUACGACGUCGUUUUCGAAUAUCCAAAAUUCCAAAAAUCAUAUUAAAAAGAACGUGAGAGAGCUUUAUUAAUUAAUUAGGCUUACAUGGUGUGUAACGCUUAACCAGAGAUAGAUCAUGCAUCUCUUAUCUACUAAUUUAUUUGUAUUGUCGUAUGUGGAUGUCAAUCAAAGUGUUAUAAUAUUAUACAUACAAAGAUCUACCAUCCCGUAAAGCAAGAGAGAUCCAUCUUAUGUUAAUUGUUAUUUUUUCCGAGCCUUGAAUAGACUGGGCCUCAAUAUUAAAGGCCCAAACCAAAAAUAAAAUUGUCGAUCGUCAUAGUCAUUAACCCC
rnacentral:lncRNA from 1 species